CCUGGUUGAUCCUGCCAGUAGGCAUAUGCUUGUCUCAAAGAUUAAGCCAUGCAUGUGUAAGUGUGAACUAGUUUAGACUGUGAAACUACGAAUGGCUCAUUAAAUCAGUUAUAGUUUGUUUGAUGGUAUCUGCUACUCGGAUAACUGUAGUAAUUCUAGAGCUAAUACGUGCAACAAACUCUGUCUUUUGGAAGGGAUGCAUUUAUUAGAUAAAAGGUCGACGCGAGCUCUGUCCAUUGCUCUGAUGAUUCAUGAUAACUCGACGGAUCACACGACCACCGUGCCAGCGACGCAUCUUUCAAAUAUCUGCCCUAUCAACUUUCGAUGGUAGGAUAGUGGCCUACUAUGGUGGUGACGGGUGACGGAGAAUCAUGGUGGCCUACUAUGGUGGUGGCGGGUGACGGAGAAUCAUGGUGGCCUACCAUGGUGGUGACGGGUGACGGAGAGGGAGCCUAAGAAACGGCUACCACAUCCAAGGAAGGCAGCGGGCGCGUAAAUUACCCAAUCCUGACACGUGGAGUUAGUGACAAUAAAUAACAAUACCAGACUGUUAGAGUCUGGUAAUGGGAACGAGUACAAUCUAAAUCCCUUAACAAGGAUCCAUUGGAGGGCAAGUCUGGCGCCAGCAGCCGCGGUAUUCCUGCUCCAAUAACAUAUUUAAAAAGCUCGUAGUUGGACCUUGGGUUGGGUCAAUCGGUCUGCCUAUGAUGUGCACCGGUUGGCUCCUCCCUUCGACCGAUGAUGCGCUCCUGGCCUUAACUGGCCGGGUCGUGCCUCCGGUACUGUUACUUUGAAGAAAUUAGAGUGCUCAAAAGCAAGCCUACGCUCUAUAUACAUUAGCAUAAGAUAACAUCAUAGGAUUUCGAUCCUAUUCUGUUGGCCUUUGGGAUCAGAGUAAUGAUUAAUAGGGACAGUCGGGGGCAUUCGUAUUUCAUAGUCAGAGGUGAAAUUUUUGGAUUUAUGAAAGACGAACAACUGCGAAAGCAUUUUGCCAAUGAUGUUUUCAUUAAUCAAGAAUGAAAGUUGGGGGCUCGAAAACGAUCAGAUACUGCCCUAAUCUCAACUAUAAAUGAUGCCGACCAGGGAUCAGCGGAUGUUACUUUUAGGACAUCGCUAACACCUUAUGAGAAAUCAAAGUCUUUGGGUUCCGGGGGGAGUAUGGUCGCAAAGCUGAAACUUAAAGGAAUUGACGGAAUGGCACCACCACGAGUGGAGCCUGCGGCUUAAUUUGACUUAACACUGGGAAACUUACCAGGUCCAAACAUAGUAAGGAUUAACAGACUGAGAGCUCUUUUUUGAUUCUAUGGGUGGUGGUGCAUGGCCGUUCUUAGUUGGUAAGGCGAUUUGUCCGGUUAAUUUCGUUAACAAACGAGACCUCAGCCUGCUAACUAGUUAUACGGAGGUGACCCUCCACACCAGCUUCUUAGAAGGACUAUGGUCGCUUAGGCCAAGGAAGUUUGAGGCAAUAACAGAUUUGUGAUGCUCUUAGAUGUUCUGGGCCGCACACGCGCUACACUGAUGUAUGCAACGAGUAUAUAACCUUGGCUGACAUGCCCGGGAAAUCUUUGAAAUUUCAUCAUGAUGGGGAUAAAUCAUUGCAAUUGUUGGUAUUCAACGAGGAAUUCCUAGUAAGCGAAAUUGAACAUUUUCUGAUCCGAACCGAAGAUUCAGUUCGAUAGCUCCGUAAAAUCGAACCGAACCGCAAUGACCUAAGGAAUCAAUCCAACCUACUAUUUUCAAUUCAAUUCGAUCCAUUUAGAAUAAUUUUGAACACUCCUACUCAGACCUAUAGUAAA
rnacentral:rRNA from 1 species